GGAACGGGCCGGGUAGCCGGAGCAGUCACCUUCGUCCGUUCCGCCAUUUUCGGCCCGUGCGGCCCAGGAUGACACGCGCGCAACACUUGUCUUCUCUUGUCUCUCUCUCUCUCUCUCUCGACGCUUCGCCACCGCGUCUCGCGGCUCGCAGACGACGACUAUCUCAUCGAUGAUGACCGCGACUUGCCGUGGCUGCGGGGCUGGGAAUGGAUGGACGACGAUCGGCGACGGAGAUUAUUCCGGUCCGCCCGUGGCGCCGUCACACGCCCGGAUAUAUCUCAUAUCUGCUUCGGAGGGUGGACUCGAGCCGAGUUCAUUCACGGACGCGCAGCGCCAUCUCUCGGCGAUUUCCGAAACUACUCAUUCCAAUUCCUUUUUUCAUGCCGGAGACCUCUCGCGGUGGAAGCGCGAACUUGCGUUUUUCGUCAGAAUCGCCAACUUCGAAAUAUGGAAAUGGAAUUCUUUCUGCAUAGGGAUUUUUUUAGGGAGAGACGGAAUAGAUUGGGAAUGAGGAAUUUUCAAACUUGAAAAAUAAUGAGAGGAAUAUACGGCAGAUACGAUGUUUAAUUAUGUUGAAUCGGUUGUUCGAAAUAAUUAAACGCGCGAGGAUUGAUCAUGGUUAAUUAUAAUAACUGUAGAAUAAUUGUAUUUUGCGCGAUAUUAUGAUAAUAUGAGGCGCGAACACUCUGACCUUCUCGCUCGAGUCUACUGCGUAUGAGUGACGUAAGCGCUGUGGAAUGUGCUGCGCAGAGCUACAGCUCUCCCUCUACUACUUCCCCCACCAUAUCACUUCCCCCACUCUAUCACUCCCUCUCUUCCACUUCCAUCAUUUUCCCACUGCGCGCGCGCGCGAUCACACCUACAUUAUUUAGGAUGCGACGAGAUCGGCCAGUCACAGUCGAGGACAGUUUAUGAUUACGACACGGCCAUCUCAAUCACAUGUGAACGCUGCCUACGAUUACGGUGUAUCGGUCGGCCAAUCACAGCGCGAGUUUACAAUCUCGAGAUAUUCAAACGCGAAGUUUCUCAAUUGCGCGCCCAAACGAAUCUUCGGAUUCCCGGUCGUGUCGGUGCUCCGAGGACAAAAGCGUAAAAUUGAAGAAGAUGAUGAUGAGCAGUCGCAUGAUGAAGUCGCGACUUUGAGGAGAUGGUUUCAAAGAUCGAGAUUGCGAAUCUAAAUUCGCAUUUCCUGAUAACCUUGUCUUUAGUAGGAAUAUAUAACGUCGCUUUACAAUACGUACGUGGUUUAUGUUGGAUCUUGUAAUAUUAUUAUCAAGGUUGCUCAUCGUGGAGAUGGUAUUUCCCUUAUCGCUAUGCAUCGUUUGCAAGCGAUUUUAUUAACAUCGGUGGUCUCUAUAGAAUUCGAGAAAGAUACUAAUACCAUUUGUCCAUUAAAACAAUUGAUGGGUGUAUUUCCUGCUGGUAGUAAAAAACAUUUAUCUGUACCAUGGGUCAAAUUAAUGAUCGAUCCAAAUCUCAUAUUAUCGACUUUUAUCCAGAAGAUUUUAAUGUUGACUUAAAUGGAAAGAAAUUUGUAUGGUAGGGCAUAGCUCUGCUUCCAUUUGUUGAUAAAAAAAAAUUAUUUAAAGCUUUGGCGCCACAUUAUGAUAGCUUAAUGGAAGCAGAAAGGUUUUUUGACAGACAGUGGCGAUGUUAGUUUGGAUUGUGUACAAUUAAUAAUGUCAGACCUUGGUGAUGUAGAAGAUGAGAUCUUCAAAAAGAGGCUCUUGGACAGGCAGUAAACCUGUAGAAAAUGCAUGUUACGAGGCUUAUUAAAUGCACAUACAGGAUGUAGGAAUUACAAUACGAAUGCUGCUGACAGUACAAAUGCCUUAGAGAACAUGUUAAUACCUGAGUGACUUUGCGCGAUUGUCGUUGAUUAUUGUGAUGCGCAUGCGCAAUUGGAGAUCUCGCAAGGGAGCAUCUCUAUACACUUCCGCUCUAUGACGCCAUCGGUGGUUCGACGCGGCGUCUCCAGGUGGCGCUGCGUGAUUAAUUGAUCGUCCAGUAUCAUGUCAGCUUCCGCUCUGCUUAGUGUUUUCAAAGACCCAAAUAAGUAUAUUGUCGCCGCGACGCGUAGAUGAGCGUUGUAUUAUUGUCCCGCGAUUUUAUCGCAUCGAUUGCGCGUAGUCCUCCGCCCCAGGAAGUGCCUGCUAAACUUGUGAAUGUAUGUGAGAGUAGUGUGUUUUGAACGAAAUUAUUUCGCGUUCCAGUAUCUUACGUUCCCUUCGUCGUCUUGGUGCCCGCCCGCGUUGUUUCCUCUCGAGGAUCAAUCAUCACUUGUGACGAAAAAGGCGAC